UACGUAGGUGGCAAGCGUUAUCCGGAAUUAUUGGGCGUAAAGCGCGCGCAGGUGGUUUCUUAAGUCUGAUGUGAAAGCCCACGGCUCAACCGUGGAGGGUCAUUGGAAACUGGGAGACUUGAGUGCAGAAGAGGAAAGUGGAAUUCCAUGUGUAGCGGUGAAAUGCGUAGAGAUAUGGAGGAACACCAGUGGCGAAGGCGGCCUGCUGGGCAGUAGCUGACACUGAGGCGCGACAGCGUGGGGAGCAAACAGG
rnacentral:rRNA from 1 species